rnacentral:tRNA from 1 species
GAACUGGUGGUUUAGUGGUAGAAUUCUCACCUUCCAAGUGGGAGACCCAGGUUAGAGUCUCGGCCAAUGCA